rnacentral:lncRNA from 1 species
AAAUGAUCAUGAAAAGCGGCCAGACUUUUGGUAAGCCUACCAAAAACCCAGAGGGUAGCAGUAAUGAAAUAAAAUGCUGAGAUUGUAUGUUUGGAAAAAUCAAUGUGACUGCCUCCAAAGACUCUCAGGGACCUGUAUUUGUCUUUUAAAUCCUCACCAGGAGGUGAGGAGCUACCAGUUUCCUGUCUCCUGGCACCUGAUGGGCAAUUUUCCAGCCAUUAAAUGCCAAGCCCUCUGGAAAGUGGCUGACCAGCGCAUUGACAAUCCAGACUUCAGUUGUGGAAAAUACAAUUACUGGCCUAAUUGCAGAAAUUUCACUUGGAAAAAAUUGAUCUGGGUCAGCAGGAGCUGUUUCUGCCUCGUCUUCAAGUCUUGUUUCCUGCACAUAGACACCAUAAUUAUAGGCGAAUUCAGCUGAGUUGAUGUAACAAGCAAGUAGAUGCCACAAAACUGGCAAGAUAAAAGGAAAACCAAGAAAAUUGAAGAUGACUACUUUGUAUUCCACUUUUCCUAAGACUGGGAACUUCAGAAAUCCGCAAACUAAAAGUGUAGGCUACCUAAACUUAAGUUAAAGAAGCAAAAGGGGAUGAAAAUGUAUAUUCUCAUGGAUACAUAAAAAUGUCACUAUUUUCUGGUUUAAACUUAAAUAAAUUUGUGCAUUGAAUUAGGUAUGAUGCAAUCUAGAAUUUUUCAUUUUUAUUUUCAUUUCUGUGUCUCUUAAGAAGAGACUUUUUUUUUUUUAGACGGAGUCUUGCUUUAUCAUCCAGGCUGGAGUGCAAUGGCGCCAUCUCGGCUCACUGCAACCUCUGCCUCCCAGGUUCAAGCGAUUCUCCUGCCUUAGCCUCCCAAGUAGCUGGGACUACAGGCAUGCGCCACCACACUCAGCUAAUUUUUGUAUUUUUAGUAGAUACGGGAUUUCACCAUGUUGACCAGGAUGGUCUUGAUCUAUUGACCUCGUUAUCCACCCGCCUCAGCCUCCCAAAGUGCUGAGAUUACAGGCGUGAGCCACCGUGCCCAGCGAAGCACAGACUUUCAAUUUGUACAAUGCAUUUUAUUUGGAUGUUUAUUUAAUCUUCAUAGUUAGGUAAUCUAAAAUCUAGAGUGUUCCAAGCAAAAUCCUGGCAUGUGUGCGCUAGGAUACAUGUGCAGAAAUCGUCAUGGUAGGGUUGGGUGCGGUGGCUCACCCCUGUAAUCCCAGCAAACAAACAAAACAAAACCAGUCAUGAGUCAUGGUUGCAUUAUUUCUAGGUGCUCCAAACUGGAAAUAGCUUAACUGUCCAUCAACAGAAGAAAGGAUCAAUAAAUU